rnacentral:rRNA from 1 species
GUUACCAGCACGUUAAGUGGGCGACUCUAAGGAGACUGCCGGUGACAAACCGGAGGAAGGUGGGGAUGACGUCAAGUCAUCAUGGCCCUUACGGCCUGGGCUACACACGUGCUACAAUGGUCGGUACAAAGGGUUGCCAAGCCGCGAGGUGGAGCUAAUCCCAUAAAACCGAUCGUAGUCCGGAUCGCAGUCUGCAACUCGACUGCGUGAAGUCGGAAUCGCUAGUAAUCGUGAAUCAGAAUGUCACGGUGAAUACGUUCCCGGGCCUU